rnacentral:lncRNA from 1 species
AGGUAAAGCAAAGUCUGAACUAAAGCACUUUUUUAAAAUAGCAAAUAUUUCUGGCUCUGCAAUCCAAGAUUAGGUUCGAUCCAAGUCCAAGAAACCGGGCCUAAAUGUCAAAGCUGUGGGCGUGUUGGAUCCUGAAGCCUGGAGUCCUCAGACAGAGAAUCGGGAAGGCGAUGUGGCCUGAAGGAGCAGCAGUUUUUCUGAAAGUGGCGGUUUACACACGGUUGCCUCAUCUGUCACAGCUUUUCAUACAAUCACGCUCAUAACGCAGUGAUGUGGGCUUCACGAGGCAGUGCUGCGAGCAGGACGCUGACAGCUGCCCGAGGCGCCAGCAGGAAAACUGACAGCUCAAAAACACAGAAGAAGAAAAAGAAGAAGACGGAGAGGAACACAACUACUGCUAUUUACAGAUGUGGUCUACUUGUGUGUGUGUGUGUGUGUGUGUGUGUCAGUCAGUCUCUCCUGACUGCAGUUUAGAAGCAGCUGCUUCACCCCCUGAGAGUACAGCAACUACAGCCUCACGUCAGUGGAACACUGCUGCCCCCUGCUGGAGAAACACAUACACAUAUAUACACAUACACAGAAAAUAUUAGAAUAUCGUUAAAAUUACUUAAUUUCAGUAAUUUGGUUUAAAAUG